UAACCCUCUAGCAGGCAAAACUGAAAUAAUAGAGAUAGAAAGUUGGGAAUUUUUCUCUAGGCAAUUAUUGGUAAAAGAAACUAAAAGAAGCAAUAAAACAGGUAAAACAGUUUAUUGGCUCACUUUCUUGGUAAAAAAGGUGAAGCGUUCUUUAAAGAACACUUGCCGGAUUAAGCAUAAAAAAGUUGGUUUCAGUAAUAAUAUAUUUUUUAUUAUAUAGGCAAGCGUUCUUCAAAGAACGCUUCACUUUGUCAAACAUUUUUUACAACUGUUUUUUUCUGUAAUCAAACUAAUAAUCCCUUUCUAAAA
rnacentral:lncRNA from 1 species